AAAUUGAAGAGUUUGAUCAUGGCUCAGAUUGAACGCUGGCGGCAGGCCUAACACAUGCAAGUCGAGCGGAAACGAGUUAACUGAACCUUCGGGGAACGUUAACGGCGUCGAGCGGCGGACGGGUGAGUAAUGCCUGGGAAAUUGCCCUGAUGUGGGGGAUAACCAUUGGAAACGAUGGCUAAUACCGCAUAAUAGCCCGGUUCUUCGGAAUUGGUCUCAAAGAGGGGGACCUUUUAGGCCUCUCGCGUCAGGAUAUGCCCAGGUGGGAUUAGCUAGUUGGUGAGGUAAUGGCUCACCAAGGCGACGAUCCCUAGCUGGUCUGAGAGGAUGAUCAGCCACACUGGAACUGAGACACGGUCCAGACUCCUACGGGAGGCAGCAGUGGGGAAUAUUGCACAAUGGGCGCAAGCCUGAUGCAGCCAUGCCGCGUGUAUGAAGAAGGCCUUCGGGUUGUAAAGUACUUUCAGCAGUGAGGAAGGUGGAUAUGUUAAUAGCAUAUUCAUUUGACGUUAGCUGCAGAAGAAGCACCGGCUAACUCCGUGCCAGCAGCCGCGGUAAUACGGAGGGUGCGAGCGUUAAUCGGAAUUACUGGGCGUAAAGCGCAUGCAGGUGGUUUGUUAAGUCAGAUGUGAAAGCCCGGGGCUCAACCUCGGAAUUGCAUUUGAAACUGGCAAACUAGAGUACUGUAGAGGGGGGUAGAAUUUCAGGUGUAGCGGUGAAAUGCGUAGAGAUCUGAAGGAAUACCGGUGGCGAAGGCGGCCCCCUGGACAGAUACUGACACUCAGAUGCGAAAGCGUGGGGAGCAAACAGGAUUAGAUACCCUGGUAGUCCACGCCGUAAACGAUGUCUACUUGGAGGUUGUGGCCUUGAGCCGUGGCUUUCGGAGCUAACGCGUUAAGUAGACCGCCUGGGGAGUACGGUCGCAAGAUUAAAACUCAAAUGAAUUGACGGGGGCCCGCACAAGCGGUGGAGCAUGUGGUUUAAUUCGAUGCAACGCGAAGAACCUUACCUACUCUUGACAUCUACAGAAG
rnacentral:rRNA from 1 species